rnacentral:rRNA from 1 species
AGUCGAGCGAGGUACAAUACCUAGCGGCAGACGGGUGAGUAACAUGUGGGAAUCUGCCUUUUGGUUCGGAACAACACGGGGAAACCUGUGCUAAUACCGGAUAAGUCCUAACGGAGAAAGUUUUAAUGCCAAAAGAUGAGCCCGCAUUUGAUUAGCUAGUUGGUAAGGUAAAAGCUUACCAAGGCGACAAUCAAUAGCUGAUUUGAGAGGAUGAUCAGCCACACUGGGACUGAGAUACGGCCCAGACUCCUACGGGAGGCAGCAGUGGGGAAUCUUGCACAAUGGGCGAAAGCCUGAUGCAGCGAUGCCGCGUGAGUGAAGAAGGCCUUUGGGUUGUAAAGCUCUUUUGUCGGGAAAGAUAAUGACUGUACCCGAAGAAUAAGGUCCGGCUAACUUCGUGCCAGCAGCCGCGGUAAUACGAAGGGACCUAGCGUAGUUCGGAAUUACUGGGCGUAAAGAGUAUGUAGGCGGCUAGAUAAGUUAAUUGUGAAAGCCCAAAGCUUAACUUUGGAAUUGCAAUUAAAACUAUUUAGCUGGAGUAUGAUAGAGGAAAGCGGAAUACAUAGUGUAGAGGUGAAAUUCGUAGAUAUUAUGUAGAACACCAGUUGCGAAGGCGGCUUUCUGGAUCAUUACUGACGCUGAGAUACGAAAGUAUGGGUAGCGAAGAGGAUUAGAUACCCUCGUAGUCCAUACCAUAAACGAUGAUUAUUAGAUGUGGGGAAUUAUUUCUCUGUAUCAUAGCUAACGCGUUAAAUAAUCCGCCUGGGGAGUACGACCGCAAGGUUAAAACUCAAAUGAAUUGACGGGGACCCGCACAAGCGGUGGAGCA